ACUCAGCCUGUCCUUUGGAAGUUUGAAACCAGGAAUUGACUUCUCUCUAGCUAUGAAAUGCUAUCUGCCAUCCUAGAUGGCAUCUUCUUCAAUAGAAGG
rnacentral:miRNA from 1 species